AUUGAACGCUGGCGGCAGGCCUAACACAUGCAAGUCGAACGAGUGGCGGACGGGUGUGCAACGUCAGUGAAACUGCCUGAUGGACGGGCAUAACUACUGGAAACGGUAGCUAAUACCGCAUCCCUACGGCUGUCCCCUGAUUGGAUUAGCCAGUAGGUGGGGUAAAGGCUCACCUAGGCCACGAGCCCUAGCUGGUCUGAGAGGAUGACCCGAAACGUUGUAACUGAGACACGGUCGAGACUCCUACGAGUGGCAGCAGUGGGGAAUAUUGCAAAAUGGGCGCAAGCCUGAUGCAGCAAUGCCGCGUGUAUGAAGAAGGCCUUCGGAUUGUAAAGUUCUUUCAUCGGGGAAGCGUUACCCACAGAAGAAGCACCGGCAAACGCCGUGCCAGCCGCCGCGGUAAUUC
rnacentral:rRNA from 1 species